UGUGGUGGAUACUGUGUUGUAUUGGAAAUAGACGGCGUAGUUUUUAUUAUACAAAUAAAAAUACGUAACAAUGGUGAAUGCUUGUUGUGUAAUUAACUGCCAUAAUCGCACUCACGACCGGUGUGGAAACCGUAUUUCAAAUGGAGUGUGAUUUUUCAGCUUUCCCGCCUGGAAACAACACAUUGGAACUCAGGUCUCCGAGUUAACAAAGUGGCGUCGCAUGGCAUGGGCAGCAGCAGUAAGACGGAAAAACAUCACCUUCAACAACAUUCCACGACACGUUUGUUUGUUCACGGCAUUUUCACAAAGGCAAACCAGCCUAUGAAAUGCUAGAGUGUGAUCCUGACUGGGUACCAUCAUUACAUCUCGGGCACAUAGAAGUUAAAGCAACGCACUCAAGGCGGUUUAACCGGAGAACACAGAGACAGCAAGCUGUCAGGGACUAACGCUGCACCUGCACCACUUGAUCUAGCUGACCAUAGACCAGAGAUGGAUGAAGCUGCAACACCAGAUGAUGCUUCACAGAUGGAUGACACUGGUUCAAAAGACUACACUGCAGAACAGCAGGGAUGUCUUUUUUGUAGCUGCAGGCGUGCCGAAAUUAACCGCUUGUUUAAGGAGAACAGGAGACUCUCUCAAAAGAAGAUGGAUGAGGAUUUUUUAAAAGAUGAUGACGUGAAGGUCAGGUACUACACUGGGCUUCCAUGUUUUGCGGUUCUGACGGGUGUGCUGACACAGCUUCUUCCCUGCCUGCCACAGACCGGCCGAAAACUUUAACAUUUUCAGAUGCUCCUCUCAACUCUGAUGCGCCUGAGGCUGAAUCUGCCGUGCGGUACCUCGUUAAGAUCAUCGGACCACUCUUUGUGUUCGUACGGAUCGAGCCUUUUGAUUUCCUUGAUUUUUUCUGUCCUUCCUCUCUCUCCUCUGCUGCUAAGUGUGUGACUGUGUCUGUGGGUGAGUUGGCUCCGCCCUCCCUCACGCAUCUUUGGUUCAUUGGUUGACACUGCGUGUCUGAUUGACAGGAACAACAG